GUGUCCACUCUAGAAAAUCAGGAUAAGUGUUUGCAGGCAAGCAAAGCAUGUGAUGGUGCCCCAGUUGGGUUCAGAUGGCUCAGAAGAUGUAUUUGGAUCAAGAUUGGAGGGGGAGUGGCAGACCUCCACUUUGCCCAGUGAGGAAAUCGGAAUACUUGGUUGCUGGCAAGCAAAGCAUGUGAUGGUGCCCCUGUGGUGUUCAGAUGGCUCAGAAGAUGUAUUUGGUUCAAGAUUGGAGGGGGCGUUCCAGACCUCCACUUUGGCCAGUGAGCUGUCCACCCUAGAAAAUCGGAACAAGUGGUUGCUGGCAAGCAAAGCAUAUGAUGGUGUCCCUGUGAUGUUCAGGUGCCUCAGAAGAUGUAUUUGGUUCAAGAUUGGAGGGGGAGUGGCAGACCUCUACUUUGGCCAGUGA
rnacentral:lncRNA from 1 species